rnacentral:rRNA from 1 species
GACGAACGCUGGCGGCGUGCCUAAUACAUGCAAGUAGAACGCACAGUUUAUACCGUAGCUUGCUACACCAUAGACUGUGAGUUGCGAACGGGUGAGUAACGCGUAGGUAACCUGCCUGGUAGCGGGGGAUAACUAUUGGAAACGAUAGCUAAUACCGCAUAAUAUUAAUUAUUGCAUGAUAAUUAAUUGAAAGGUGCAAUUGCACCACUACCAGAUGGACCUGCGUUGUAUUAGCUAGUAGGUGAGGUAACGGCUCACCUAGGCGACGAUACAUAGCCGACCUGAGAGGGUGAUCGGCCACACUGGGACUGAGACACGGCCCAGACUCCUACGGGAGGCAGCAGUAGGGAAUCUUCGGCAAUGGACGAAAGUCUGACCGAGCAACGCCGCGUGAGUGAAGAAGGUUUUCGGAUCGUAAAGCUCUGUUGUAAGAGAAGAACGGGUGUGAGAGUGGAAAGUUCACACUGUGACGGGAUCUUACCAGAAAGGGACGGCUAACUACGU